CUCUACUGUUGGUGUUAGCUGUUCGCCACGCUUCUCUGUAAUACUGGCAUUUUUAAUCUGAAAAUAUUGGUUGUUUUGUUAGACCGAAUUAAUGACUAAAAAUUGUUCCUGGGAAAUAUAAAAGAACAGAUCUCAAUUCCUGGUGUCUGUCAUUCAUUCAUCAUUAAAGUUCCAUCAAAAACAUCUGGAGUCUAACUGCAACACUUCCUGGUCCCAUUCUUGCAUGGAAACAAUGACAAUGACUCGCCUCAAUCCGGAUGGCGGAGGAUGAAUCUCAGUGGAGACAGUCAAUCCGCGCAUCUUAUCAUGUGGCUUGUUGAGCGCGUUACUGCGGAGACCUAGCGCAUGUGGAGGCUUCACGCUAUUCUCCGCGACAUCCACGCACAACUCACCAUGCACCCCACCAAGAGCGAGAACCACAUUACAGCGACCAUAAGGAGGUUACCCCAUGUGACUCUACCCUCCCUAACAACCGGGCCAAUUUGGUUGCCCAGGAGACCUGUCUGGAGUUACUCAGCACGCCCUGGAUUUGAACUCGCGACUCCAGGCCCCGAUUAUUGACUCAUUAUUAACUACACAAGUACUACACUUAGUAUUCAUGUCAGUUAAAUCACAUAUCUUCUAUAAUUUUUUGGUGGUUUGUCAUGAAGAUGUAGUCAUAGCAUGCAUGUGUAUGGUGAGUAAAAUGUGUUGUGGGACCAAUAGUGGUAGGGUGAGGGAAUGGGAUGGAGAAUCAUGCAAAAUGGGUUAAGAAAAAAUUAUUUGUGGCAAUUAUUAAUAUAUUUAUUUUAUUAAUAAGUUUGAUAAGGACGAUACAUGUAAAUAAUGGCAGAAUAAUCCUGUCAUCUUAUGAUGUUUGUGGAGAAACUGCAGACAGCAAAAGUUAGUAUAAAAUUAUGAAAUAUUAAAUAAUGCAUGUUUUAAGGUUUAAGUAAUGCAUAUUCUUUCUGAUAAAGCCUGUUUGAUUUCACAUGUAAUGUAACAAACAUUUUAUGUAA